rnacentral:rRNA from 1 species
AGAUUGAACGCUGGCGGCAGGCCUAACACAUGCAAGUCGAGCGGCAGCACGGGUACUUGUACCUGGUGGCGAGCGGCGGACGGGUGAGUAAUGCCUAGGAAUCUGCCUGGUAGUGGGGGAUAACGCUCGGAAACGGACGCUAAUACCGCAUACGUCCUACGGGAGAAAGCAGGGGACCUUCGGGCCUUGCGCUAUCAGAUGAGCCUAGGUCGGAUUAGCUAGUUGGUGAGGUAAUGGCUCACCAAGGCGACGAUCCGUAACUGGUCUGAGAGGAUGAUCAGUCACACUGGAACUGAGACACGGUCCAGACUCCUACGGGAGGCAGCAGUGGGGAAUAUUGGACAAUGGGCGAAAGCCUGAUCAGCCAUGCCGCGUGUGUGAAGAAGGUCUUCGGAUUGUAAAAGCACUUUAAAGUUGGAGAAGGCAUUAACCUAAUACGUUAGUGUUUUGACGUUACGACAGAAUAAGCACCGGCUAAACUCUGUGCCAGCACG